rnacentral:rRNA from 1 species
UACGAAGGGGGCUAGCGUUACUCGGAAUCACUGGGCGUAAAGGGUGCGUAGGCGGGUCUUUUAAGUCAGGGGUGAAAUCCUGGAGCUCAACUCCAGAACUGCCUUUGAUACUGAAGAUCUUGAGUUCGGGAGAGGUGAGUGGAACUGCGAGUGUAGAGGUGAAAUUCGUAGAUAUUCGCAAGAACACCGGUGGCGAAGGCGGCUCACUGGCUCAUUUCUGACGCUCAGGCGCGACAGCGUGGGGAUCAAACAGG